rnacentral:piRNA from 1 species
UGCAAUGAUUGGGCUUCAGAAGCUGGUC